AAGUCGUAACAAGGUUUCCGUAGGUGAACCUGCGGAAGGAUCAUUACUAAAGAUUCACGUCUUUGGUUCCAUCUCGUGCAUUGUUUACCCCCCUUCGCACUUCGGUGCUGUUGGGGCCCCUUUUUUACUCAUUUUUUUACUUUAAUUUGAUAACUUCUGUUGGAUUAUAAAUAAAAUAUAACUUUCAGCAACGGAUCUCUAGGCUCUU
rnacentral:misc_RNA from 1 species